UACGGAGGGUGCGAGCGUUGUCCGGAAUCACUGGGCGUAAAGGGCGCGUAGGUGGCGCGGGCAGUCAACGGUGAAAGUUCGGGGCUCAACCCUGAAUCGGCCGUCGAUACUCCCGGGCUUGAGCACUGUAGAGGCAGAUGGAAUUCCGGGUGUAGCGGUGGAAUGCGUAGAGAUCCGGAAGAACACCGGUGGCGAGGCGGUCUGCUGGCAGUAGCUGACACUGAGGCGCGACAGCG
rnacentral:rRNA from 1 species